GCAACGCUGUAGCAACGCCUUAGCAACGCUGUAGCAACGCCGUAGCAACUCGAGGCCCAGCGCUGCGGAGCCGCCGCGCCCGGGCGCCGGAGCUGAGCGCGCGCUGAAUCGCGUUGCGGGCGGCGGAACGCCGGGGUGCAGAAAGCGUUUCCACCGGGCUCUUGGGUGGAUGGUUUAACGCUGAGGUUGCUGGGCGCGGAGCCGGGCAUCGGACUCGAUGAUCUUCACAAGUCCCUUCCAAGUCAGGAGCACGAACGGUUCUAGGCUCCCCAGACCUCGCAGGAUGACGAAGAGCUCCUCAUCAGCCCCCUGGCAUCUCGGACCAGCUCCACCUCCGUGUCCUUGGGGGAGAACCCAUCACCAGGACGGACCCCGCGAGCGCUUCGCUGCCAGCCCCACCGUGCUAGGAAACGCUGGGCAGCUCAUCCCGCAGCGCUCCCUGCGCCCGCUGCCUUAGAAGCUCGCCGGGCUUUACCUUAAAGACAACUAUGACAGUUCACCUCUGCAGAAGUCUUUGCCGGAUGGCAGAGAGCAAAAGGGACGAGGCAGCCCUCGAACGAACCGGGAUUGCUGCCGCAGCCCUACGCUUCCCAGCAGCCCUCUGUCCGAGGACCAGCCGAUGUCCUGCCUCAUUCUAUAUGGGGUUGUUAGGCUGGGGCUCGAACCGGUGAUUGCGCACCUGGUGAGGGGUGUGGCCAGCCCUGCCGGCACAGCUGGAGCCGUUCAGCUGGGAUUGGAGGGGUGGAGCCCGGCUGCAUCCCUCCCUGGGCUCAUUUAAGGGCUGGCAGCCGCAGGGGCAGCAUCUGUACCUGGAGCCUGCUUCCUUUGGAGUGCGGGGUGAGUCCUGGUCCUUGGGAAGAGGUAAGUGAUUCUUUCUUUGUUAUGGGGCUGUGACCUCUGUCUUUCUUAGGGGGUCGGGGACUGGUUUAAAGCGGCUGUUCCUUCCAUUGCCUACCCUUACAAUGCCCUUCAAUCUUUUCCUGAGAGGUUAAUUGACUGUAUCCCUUUCUUUGAAAUGGUGUUGACAAUCCUUCUAUAAGCCCUUUUCUUCCACUACUGCUUGAUUUCUGGAACGCUUCAGUCAGACCACAAGUUGUACUAGGAGGCUGACUGUGUGCUGUAUCUCUGAGAAUGCCUGUCCUUUUCCUCCCAUGUUCUCCUUGUCUCUGGCUAUUCCCUGUGGUGUUGCCCUUGGCUUUGCAUUGGCUUGCUCUGGCUGUUCUCUUUGCCCGGGCUGUCCCUGCGGCGUUCUCCUUUGGCGUUGCCCUUUGCCUGGGCCUUUCCUGCUGCGUUCUGAUUGUCUUUACUCUUGCCCUUGUUCUGGCUUUUCCUUGGGCAUUCUAAUUGCCUUUGCCUCGGUGUUCCCUUGGGUGUUCUGCUUGCCUUUGCAUCACUGGGAUUGGCUGUGAGGCAGCAUUAAUUUUAAUCUUGGGAGGUUAAGCUUAAUGGCAACUCAAAAAGUAACCAUAUUAACCUGCAAUGUAACUCUAACCCUUAACCUGAUGCUGAAAAUAUCUAAUGCUAAAUGUAGCAAUGAAAAUAAUGCCCCAAGUUCUCUGUCUAAGAAACCUUAACCCUAAUUGCAAUGUUAAAAACAACCGUUAAACUAAGUGUAACCUUAAAGCCAUAACUAGCAUAAAUUAUAACCCUAAUCUCUUAAAAGUAAUUGUUAUAUCCUUUAUCCUAAAAAUCCAUGGAAACUAAUCCAGACAAGUCACUGUAAGUGUAAUGUGAACAGUAACCUCAAUCCUAAAGAUAACCCUAACCUCAACACUAACACAAUGAUAAUUGUAAUUGGACUUUUCCUCUUCGUUAAUGUACAAACCCUAUUUAAAAAUCCACAAACCCUAUUGCAAUGGUAGCAGCCCAAACCUCUGAGAAUGCUGACUGCUCUGGCCACUCUAACCACUGUAGAUGACAACUGAGUACAACUCGACCACAGCUCAUAGCAAGCAUUGAUACACCGCACUUGCAGGCCCUAUACACAAACUGUAGCACUGCUGCCCCCUCCCUUCUCCCCCCUGUUUCCCUGGCACAGUUUCCAAGCUAGCUCCGCAGCUGUGGGACUCGACGGCUCGAAGAACAUCAGCCCUCAGCCUGGGACCGGCGCAGAGUGGCUCCGUAAUGGGUGCAGUAGAGCUCGGGGAUUGUGUUGACAGCUGCACUCGGUGGCAACGGAGAACUGCGGUGCUUCCGGACGGCGUGAGAACUGCACAGAGAUCUGUGACUCUUCGUGAAGUCAGCAAGAAAUGGAAGACUGGAUUUCUGGGAAUGCCCUGGAACCCGACUUCAACUGGUAACUCACUGCUCAUACAGGUAAGGGCAAUGUGCACCUGCCAGUUCAUACCAAUCGCGUAGCGUGGCUCAACAUAGUGCUCCCAGACCUCGGUACUGCGCUUCAGGGUAC